AGUCGACAAAUAUGAGGCAGAAUUUACACUCAAUAUAAAUUGAAUGUGAUACAUAUCGAGGAAAAAAGAGAAGGAAAAGUAAAUUACAAAAAUACAAACUACUUUAUGUGCCUAUAUAAAGGACAGUAUGGAGAAGUAAGUUUAAGUUUAUUUUUCCGUCUCUUGUCGCAAGUUAUUCCUUUGGCCAAUGCGAAAUGCUGUCAGGACUCGAAAAACAUUGCCCAUUUCAAUUCCAGUUACUUGAACAAUAAUCGAAUUGCUUUGCAGCACUCCAUAAGAGUUCCCGGGUCACGUUCACAUUUCACAGAAAUAAAAGUAAAAAUAAAAAUAAAAUGAAAGCCCAAAGCGGCAACGUUUAUCGAAUUGUGCCAAAUCCAAACAAUUCACACACUUGUGAAUUGGAACAUGCCGCAUGACCAAAUUAUUACCCGAAUGCAGCAAAUGCGGUCAUAUAAAUCAGAAAUAUCAAACUAAACAUAGGCAAUAUACAAAUGCUUUUGUAUGCAGCCAACGAAAACGGACGAGGGGUUGUUGGCGGAGGAAACUUAAUUGCAUUUUGGAAAACGAGUGAAAAUAAUUAAAAAGUAUCUACGUUUUGCUGAACAACGCAAUAAUAAAGUGAAAUUUCCCCAGCGAA